AGAAUGAACGCUGGCGGCGUGCUUAACACAUGCAAGUCGAGCGAGGCGGAAGGGGGCAACUCCUUCCAGUCGAGCGGCGGACGGGUGAGUAACACGUGGGUAACCUGCCCGGAAGUGGGGAAUACCUCGGGGAAACUCGAGCUAAUACCGCAUGACAUCUUCGGGACGAAAGUCCUGGUGAUCAAAGCGGGGUCGCAAGAUCUCGCGCUACCGGAUGGGCCCGCGCCCGAUUAGCUAGUUGGCGAGGUAACGGCUCACCAAGGCUACGAUCGGUAACCGGCCUGAGAGGGCGAGUCGGUACGACACCGGAACUGAGACACGGUCCGGACUCCUACGGGAGGCAGCAGUGGGAAUCUGCGCAAUGGGCGAAAGCCUGACGCAGCAACGCCGCGUGAGGAUGAAGGCCCUUGGUUGUAAACUCCUGUCGGCUGGAAGAAAUCGGUUACGGGUUAACUACCGUCGGACGUUGACUGUACCAGACAAAGGAACGCCCGGCUAACUCUAGUGCCAGCACGCCGCGUAA
rnacentral:rRNA from 1 species